CCUACGGGAGGCAGCAGUGAGGAAUAUUGGUCAAUGGACGAGAGUCUGAACCAGCCAAGUAGCGUGAAGGAUGACUGCCCUAUGGGUUGUAAACUUCUUUUAUAUGGGAAUAAAGUGUUCCACGUGUGGGAUUUUGUAUGUACCAUAUGAAUAAGGAUCGGCUAACUCCGUGCCAGCAGCCGCGGUAAUACGGAGGAUCCGAGCGUUAUCCGGAUUUAUUGGGUUUAAAGGGAGCGUAGGUGGCUUGUUAAGUCAGUUGUGAAAGUUUGCGGCUCAACCGUAAAAUUGCAGUUGAUACUGGCAGUCUUGAGUACAGUAGAGGUGGGCGGAAUUCGUGGUGUAGCGGUGAAAUGCUUAGAUAUCACGAAGAACUCCGAUUGCGAAGGCAGUUCACUGGACUGCAACUGACACUGAGGCUCGAAAGUGUGGGUAUCAAACAGGAUUAGAUACCCCGGUAGUC
rnacentral:rRNA from 1 species